CUCGACCUACGGGACGCAGCAGUGAGGAGUAUUGGUCAAUGGGCGGGAGCCUGAACCAGCCAAGUCGCGUGAGGGAAGACGGUCCUAUGGAUUGUAAACCUCUUUUGCCGGGGAGCAAAAAGCGGUACGUGUACCGCAUCGAGAGUACCCGGAGAGAAAGCAUCGGCUAACUCCGUGCCAGCAGCCGCGGUAAUACGGAGGAUGCGAGCGUUAUCCGGAUUUAUUGGGUUUAAAGGGUGCGCAGGCGGCGAGUUAAGUCAGCGGUAAAAUUUCGGGGCU
rnacentral:rRNA from 1 species